GAAAAUUUAAAAAAGUAAAAUGUAACAAAAACUUAAUUUAUCUAAAACACAUUCUAAGAAAAUUGUAAACAACUCAUUUUUAUUUUCUCAUUUCCUAAGAUCAAUAUCUUAUAUAAAGAAACUGCCAGCUUCUUUUUGUACUGUUACUUGAACUCAUGGCCUGGAUACUGUCCUUAGCUCUUUUGCUCAAGGCUGGUAGUCUAGCACUUGAGCCCAUCUCCACUUCCAGGUUUUGAUGGUUGAGAUAAGAAUCUCUUGGGUUUUCCUGCCCAGGCUAGCUUUGAAUCUUUGUUCUCAAGUAUCAGCCUCCUGAGUAGCUAGGAUUAUACACAUAAGCCCUGGGACUAGGUCUGUCAACUUUUCUGUGUCAACAUAAAAUUAUAGCACUGAGUGGAGCUCAGUAGGACUAGUAUGCACCAAGCUCUGAUUCACCAGAGCACCCAAAAACACUAUUUUCAAAAAUGAAAAUAGGAUGGGCUAGGAAUAUGGCCUAGUGGUAAAAGUGCUUGUCUCGUAUACAUGAAGCCCUGGGUUCGAUUCCUCAGUACCACAUAUAUAGAAAAAGCCAGA